rnacentral:lncRNA from 1 species
AUCCUCUUAUAUGAUUAUUAUAUAAUAUUAAAUCAAAAAUUAAAAUAUAAAGAGCAAGAACUACAUGUUGAUCAUAUCAACAUGUUUCUAUACUACAUCUAAUGUAUGUAAAAUAUAAUAGAUUAGAUCUAUUACCUUACAAGUUAGACAUUCUAACUUUACUGAUCUGAGCUUGAGGAUGAUGUUGCGAGCUGCACAUAUGUCCGGCAUCUAGGAGUCAUCCACAUGAGCCCACGAAUCACGAUCAGAAGUCCUGGUCUAGAAAAUCAGCACAGUAUGCUAGUACUGUGCUGAUCCUUCUUUGAUGGUCGAUCAGAUACCUCCUUCUUCUUGAUU